UUGCCGGCGACCGGCGCACGGGUGAGUAACACGUAUGCAACCUGCCCGUCUCAGGGGGAUAAUCGUCGGAAACGGCGUCUAAUACCCCGUAUGAAGCUGAACGGCAUCGUCUGGUUUUUGAAAGAAUAUCGGAGACGGAUGGGCAUGCGGCGCAUUAGCUAGUUGGCGGGGUAACGGCCCACCAAGGCGACGAUGCGUAGGGGUUCUGAGAGGAGGGUCCCCCACACUGGUACUGAGACACGGACCAGACUCCUACGGAAGGCAGCAG
rnacentral:rRNA from 1 species